CAAGAAUAUUAGCAAUGCUCGCAAGAGUGAACUAGCUAACUGAAAUCAUUAAUGUUUCACGAUCAUUAGUGAUGUCGUAAAGGAAAAUAAUGAUGAUACUUUACUAUGAGCGUUGUCCAAGACUAGUGCCAGAAGACUCGGUAAGGCUAGGGACGCAAACGUUAACCGUCUUAAACAGGCGUAAAGGGUAUGUAGGCAGCUUUAAGCAUUUAAUUUUCAUUUUAGCUAACUUAUACAAUCUAUUUAAAAAGUAUAAAAUUAACUAUAAUUAAAAAAAAAUCAAUUAAAGCUAGAAUCUAAAUGGGGAUACACUAAAUAAUGCUUAGAGUAGGGCUAAGAUCCGUAAAAACUAAGUGGAAUAUUAAAGGCGUAGGCUUUUUAUCCUGUAAAGAUUGACGCUGAGAAACGAAGGUGAGGAUAGGAAAUAGGAUUAGAGACCCUACUACCCCUCUCUGUCAACAAUGAAUGGUAACUGUUAGAUUUAAAAAUAUUAAUCUGAUGGUGAGGCUAACGCGAGAACCAUUCCGCCUUGUGAGUACGGCUGCAAAGCUGAAAUCAAAAAAAUUAGUCGGUCUCGAAGCAAACGAAGUGAAGCAUGGUAUUUAAUUCGAU
rnacentral:rRNA from 1 species